AAGUAAAGAAAAGAAGCUUAGGUGCUGGAGAAAUGUUCCUGCAUGCGAUCACAAGGAUUCAGGCCGCAAACCCUACACCACCACCUUCCAUUUUAGCUCCUGUUCGCAGUAAUGCUGGGCUCAGGCCCCCAUCCGAUCGUUUUGCUCUGAAAUCUUCCUUCUUUUCCCCAUCGCUCCACCUCUUCGUUGCUUCCAAUCAACAUCAGCGGCCUAUUGCAUCUGCAGCUCCAAGAUUCUCCAUGCGUGUUGCCUCCAAGCAAUCCUAUAUUUGUCGCGAUUGCGGGUAUAUUUACAAUGAAAGGACUCCCUUCGAGAAACUGCCUGACAAGUACUUCUGCCCG
rnacentral:misc_RNA from 1 species